rnacentral:rRNA from 1 species
UACGGAGGGGGCUAGCGUUGUUCGGAAUUACUGGGCGUAAAGCGCACGUAGGCGGCUUUGUACGUUAGAGGUGAAAGCCUGAUGCUCAACAUCAGAAUUGCCUUUAAGACUGCAUCGCUUGAACGUCGGAGAGGUGAGUGGAAUUCCGAGUGUAGAGGUGAAAUUCGUAGAUAUUCGGAAGAACACCAGUGGCGAAGGCGGCUCACUGGACGACUGUUGACGCUGAGGUGCGAAAGCGUGGGGAGCAAACAGG